AUAUAACUUGUCUUUUUAGAUGAAAAUUACAUACUGCAGCUUUGACAAUAAAAUAUUCAGUGAGCUGAGAUCCUAGGAUCCAUCCUUCAGUAUAAAAGAUUCCUGUGGCAAAAACUGAAAGUCCUACAAAUUUCUUUUUUUAAAAGGACUUGAAAGAAAGCAGUUCUUGUGAAAGGUCAACUGUGGUGUGUUGGUGUUCACUGCUACCACUUCCAGAUGUGUUUUUCUGAAUAAUUACACAGUCACACACACCGUUAUUUAGACCCCCCCUGUGCCUUCAAGAGUUGGAAGGGUCAUCAAACAGUGCAUAGAAAUCAAAAUAACUUUGGCAUUCAGGAGCUUAAGAGUUCUCCAGUCCAGUCGGAUUUUUUUUUUUUUUUUUUACCAAGUUGGAUGUUGGAAAUUCCUCAGCUGCAGAAAAGAAAAAAAAAAAGAGAGAGAGAAAAGCGUGAGACAUGUCGUGUCAUUCAGAGCUCAUUCAUGUCUAAUUACCAUGGCACUAAACCAUUUUCUUAGCCUUUGUGGGCCUGUUGAGAGGAUGGCCGGGCCCACGCUCUCCCAUGCGCACAGCUCCAGCAUCCUCCUCCUGCUCCUUCGGCAAACCCAACAGCAGCGGCGGCGGCGGCAGCAGUCACACAGAAUGAAUGGAGCUGCCUCAGGAAUGCAGACACAAAGGGAGGAAUGUCAUUCUGCCAAGUGCCCCUUAUUCCAAACCAAACCAAAGGGACAUGUGCACGCACACACAGAAGCACCUCACAAGUCCAGGCAUGUUCAAAUCACAGGGGGUGAAAAGUCUUAUGAUUUUUCUUUCCCUCCUCCGCCCCCACUAUAACUGAAUACAAACAUCAACUUUGUGCCCAAUAAUUUUUGUACCUUUGAUGCAUUUUUCCUCCCCCCUAUUAUUAGACUUUAUUCUGUCUUGGUGUUCCCAGUCAAAAAAAGGUGCUAUUAUUGGUAGAGCUUUGAAUAGUAGGUUGUGGUUCCUUUAUAUGCCAGUGACUCAUUCUUCAUAUUUUAUGAAUAAAACUUAAUACUGUCUGGAAAAAUAAAAAUAAAUCAUUGAUAAAUUAGGGCAAAGAUCUACUUUUAGCAAAGGUCUACUUUUAGCACCUAUUUAGCAUUUUUCUCUACCAUUAGACUUUAUGCGGACGACACCUUGGUAUUCUGAGUUUAUCAUUAAAAAAAUGCUAGUACUUAUAAAACAUUGAAUUGUAGAUUGUGGUUCCUUCACACAGUAGUGAUCCAUUCUUUACUGGUAUAUAAAGAAUGGAUGCUAACUAAAACUUAGCAUUAUGUGAAAAAGAUUUUGUGCUAAAAGUAGGACAAAGGUCUACUUUUAGCACUAAUUUAACAUUUUUCCCUAUUUUCAUACUUUAUGCAGAUGAUACCAUGGUAUUCUCAGUGUCUCACCAAAAAAAGAUAUUAUUCAUAAGGUUUUGAAUAGUAGGUUGUGAUUCCUUCUUAUGCCAGUAAUUCAUUCUUUAUAUUUUAUAAAUAACACUUGGCCCUAU